rnacentral:rRNA from 1 species
UCAAUAGCGUAUAUUAAGUUGUUGUGGUUAUAAGCUCGUAGUUGGAUCUCGGCGGUCUGAGGGCGGUUCGCUUCAGAGCGCUACUGCCCUAUAGACCGUAGUUUUGCCAGAGGUCUCAGGGUGCUCUUAACCGAGUGUCUUGCGAUGCUGGCAGGUUUACUUUGAAAAAAUUAGAGUGCUCAAAGCAGGCUUUUACGCCUGAAUAUUCGUGCAUGGAAUAAUAGAAUAGGAAGUCGUUUCUAUUUUGUUGGUUUUCGGAAAUCGACUUAAUGAUUAAUAGGGACAGUCGGGGGCAUUUGUAUUCAAACGACAGAGGUGAAAUUCUUGGACCGUUUGAAGACAAACUACUGCGAAAGCAUUUGCCAAGAAUGUUUUCAUUAAUCAAGAACGAAAGUUAGAGGUUCGGAGGCGAUUAGGUACCGCCCUAGCUCUAACCAUAAACGAUGCCAGCUAGCGAUCUGCCGACGUUUUUUUUUGUAGACUCGGCAGGAAGCUUCCGGGAAACCAAAGCAUUUGGGUUCCAGGGGAAGUAUGGUUGCAAAGCUGAAACUUAAAGGAAUUGACGGAAGGGCACCACCAGGAGUGGAGCCUGUGGCUUAAUUUGACUCAACACGGGAAAUCUCACCAGGCCCGGACACUGGAAGGAUUGACAGAUUGAUAGCUCUUUCUUGAUUCGGUGGGUGGUGGUGCAUGGCCGUUCUUAGUUGGUGGAGUG